UAGUAAUGGCAGGUCAGCAUACUGCCGUGAAUACGUUCCCGGGCCUUGUACACACCGCCCGUCACACCAUGAGAGUUGGGAAUACCCGAAGCCUGUGAGCUAACUUUUAGAGGCAGCAGUCGAAGGUAGAAUCAAUGAUUGGGGUGAAGUCGUAACAAGGUAUC
rnacentral:rRNA from 1 species